AUUGAACGCUGGCGGCAUGCCUUACACAUGCAAGUCGAACGGUAACAGGUCUUCGGAUGCUGACGAGUGGCGAACGGGUGAGUAAUACAUCGGAACGUGCCUAGUAGUGGGGGAUAACUACUCGAAAGAGUGGCUAAUACCGCAUGAGAUCUACGGAUGAAAGCAGGGGAUCGCAAGACCUUGUGCUACUAGAGCGGCCGAUGGCAGAUUAGGUAGUUGGUGGGAUAAAAGCUUACCAAGCCGACGAUCUGUAGCUGGUCUGAGAGGACGAUCAGCCACACUGGGACUGAGACACGGCCCAGACUCCUACGGGAGGCAGCAGAGGGGAAUUUUGGACAAUGGGCGCAAGCCUGAUCCUGCAAUGCCGCGUGCAGGAUGAAGGCCUUCGGGUUGUAAACUGCUUUUGUACGGAACGAAAAGCCCUGGGUUAAUACCCUGGGGUCAUGACGGUACCGUAAGAAUAAGCACCGGCUAACUACGUGCCAGCCGCCGCUGUAA
rnacentral:rRNA from 1 species